AUACGGAGGAUGCGAGCGUUAUCCGGAUUCAUUGGGUUUAAAGGGUGCGUAGGCGGCUUUUUAAGUCAGUGGUGAAAUCCUGCCGCUUAACGGUAGAAUUGCCAUUGAUACUGAAGAGCUUGAGUACAAUUGAGGUAAGCGGAAUGUGUAGUGUAGCGGUGAAAUGCAUAGAUAUGAUAUAGAACACCGAUUGCGAAGGCAGCUAACUAAGCGAUGAUUGACGCUGAGGCACGAAAGCGUGGGGAUC
rnacentral:rRNA from 1 species